CGUGUAGGCGGUCGGCCAAAGUCUGAUGUGAAAGCCCGGGGGCUCAGCCCCGGAAGUGCGUCGGAAGCUAGUCGGCUGGAGCGCGAUAGAGGAGGGUGGAAUUCCUGGUGUAGCGGUGAAAUGCGUAGAUAUCAGGAGGAACACCGGCGGCGAAGGCGGCCCUCUGGAUCGUUGCUGACGCUGAGACGCGAAAGCGUGGGGAGCAAACAGGAUUAGAUACCCUGGUAGUCCACGCUGUAAACUAUGGGUACUAGGUGUUUGGGGUAUUGACCCCCCUGAGUGCCGCAGUUAACGCAUUAAGUACCCCGCCUGGGGACUACGGCCGCAAGGUUAAA
rnacentral:rRNA from 1 species